UGCAGUCGAACGAUGAAGCCCAGCUUGCUGGGUGGAUUAGUGGCGAACGGGUGAGUAACACGUGAGUAACCUGCCCUUAACUCUGGGAUAAGCCUGGGAAACUGGGUCUAAUACCGGAUAGGAGCGUCUACCGCAUGGUGGGUGUUGGAAAGAUUUAUCGGUUUUGGAUGGACUCGCGGCCUAUCAGCUUGUUGGUGAGGUAAUGGCUCACCAAGGCGACGACGGGUAGCCGGCCUGAGAGGGUGACCGGCCACACUGGGACUGAGACACGGCCCAGACUCCUACGGGAGGCAGCAGUGGGGAAUAUUGCACAAUGGGCGCAAGCCUGAUGCAGCGACGCCGCGUGAGGGAUGACGGCCUUCGGGUUGUAAACCUCUUUCAGUAGGGAAGAAGCGAAAGUGACGGUACCUGCAGAAGAAGCACCGGCUAACUACGUGCCAGCAGCCGCGGUAAUACGUAGGGUGCGAGCGUUAUCCGGAAUUAUUGGGCGUAAAGAGCUCGUAGGCGGUUUGUCACGUCUGUCGUGAAAGUCCGGGGCUUAACCCCGGAUCUGCGGUGGGUACGGGCAGACUAGAGUGCAGUAGGGGAGACUGGAAUUCCUGGUGUAGCGGUGGAAUGCGCAGAUAUCAGGAGGAACACCGAUGGCGAAGGCAGGUCUCUGGGCUGUAACUGACGCUGAGGAGCGAAAGCAUGGGGAGCGAACAGGAUUAGAUACCCUGGUAGUCCAUGCCGUAAACGUUGGGCACUAGGUGUGGGGACCAUUCCACGGUUUCCGCGCCGCAGCUAACGCAUUAAGUGCCCCGCCUGGGGAGUACGGCCGCAAGGCUAAAACUCAAAGGAAUUGACGGGGGCCCGCACAAGCGGCGGAGCAUGCGGAUUAAUUCGAUGCAACGCGAAGAACCUUACCAAGGCUUGACAUGUUCUCGAUCGCCGUAGAGAUACGGUUUCCCCUUUGGGGCGGGUUCCCAGGUGGUGCAUGGUUGUCCUCCACCUCGUGUCCU
rnacentral:rRNA from 1 species